rnacentral:rRNA from 1 species
AGUGAACGCUGGCGGUAGGCCUAACACAUGCAAGUCGAACGGCAGCACAGUAAGAGCUUGCUCUUACGGGUGGCGAGUGGCGGACGGGUGAGGAAUACAUCGGAAUCUACUUUUUCGUGGGGGAUAACGUAGGGAAACUUACGCUAAUACCGCAUACGACCUACGGGGGAAAGCAUGGGAUCUUCGGACCUUGCGCGAUUGAAUGAGCCGAUGUCGGAUUAGCUAGUUGGCGGGGUAAAUGCCCACCAAGGCGACGAUCCGUAGCUGGUCUGAGAGGCGGGUCGGCGACACUGGAGGUGGGACACGGACCAGAGUCCUACGGGAGGCAGCAGUGGGGAAUAUUGGACAAUGGGCGCAAGCCUGAUCCAGCCAUACCGCGUGGGUGAAGAAGGCCUUCGGGUUGUAAAGCCCUUUUGUUGGGAAAGAAAAGCAGCAGGUUAAUACCCCGCUGUUCUGACGGUACCCAAAGGAUAAGCACCGGCUAACUUCGUG